AGAGUUUGAUCCUGGCUCAGGACGAACGCUGGCGGCGUGCUUAACACAUGCAAGUCGAACGAGAAUCUACUGAAAGAGUUUUCGGACAAUGGAUGUAGAGGAAAGUGGCGGACGGGUGAGUAACGCGUGAGGAACCUGCCUUGAAGAGGGGGACAACAGUUGGAAACGACUGCUAAUACCGCAUGACGCAUAGAGGUCGCAUGAUCUUUAUGCCAAAGAUUUAUCGCUUCAAGAUGGCCUCGCGUCUGAUUAGCUAGUUGGCGGGGUAACGGCCCACCAAGGCGACGAUCAGUAGCCGGACUGAGAGGUUGAACGGCCACAUUGGGACUGAGAUACGGCCCAGACUCCUACGGGAGGCAGCAGUGGGGAAUAUUGGGCAAUGGGCGCAAGCCUGACCCAGCAACGCCGCGUGAAGGAAGAAGGCUUUCGGGUUGUAAACUUCUUUUAAGAGGGAAGAGCAGAAGACGGUACCUCUAGAAUAAGCCACGGCUAACUACGUGCCAGCAGCCGCGGUAAUACGUAGGUGGCAAGCGUUGUCCGGAUUUACUGGGUGUAAAGGGCGUGUAGCCGGGUCGGCAAGUCAGAUGUGAAAUCCACGGGCUUAACUCGUGAACUGCAUUUGAAACUGUUGAUCUUGAGUAUCGGAGAGGCAAUCGGAAUUCCUAGUGUAGCGGUGAAAUGCGUAGAUAUUAGGAGGAACACCAGUGGCGAAGGCGGAUUGCUGGACGAUAACUGACGGUGAGGCGCGAAAGUGUGGGGAGCAAACAGGAUUAGAUACCCUGGUAGUCCACACUGUAAACGAUGAAUACUAGGUGUGCGGGGACUGACCCCCUGCGUGCCGCAGUAAACACAAUAAGUAUUCCACCUGGGGAGUACGAUCGCAAGGUUGAAACUCAAAGGAAUUGACGGGGGCCCGCACAAGCGGUGGAUUAUGUGGUUUAAUUCGAAGCAACGCGAAGAACCUUACCAGGGUUUGACAUCCUGCUAACGAAGUAGAGAUACAUUAGGUGCCCUUCGGGGAAAGCAGAGACAGGUGGUGCAUGGUUGUCGUCAGCUCGUGUCGUGAGAUGUUGGGUUAAG
rnacentral:rRNA from 1 species